AGUGUUGGGGACCGAUGCAUCCGAGAUUGUAUUCUACCAAAAUUAUGAAUAAAUAGUGAAUGUUUUUGAAGAACCCACAUUUUAAGGAAUAGAUCAGCACAAAGACCACACCACCCAAUCAAAUAAAUUAAGAUUGAUUAUCGAAGAAAGGAAGAAGGAAAAAUGGCAUGGCAUCAGAAAAAAUUCCUGAUACUAGGGAAUUUCUUAAUUCAUGAAUCUUAACUUCAAACAGUAUAUUAAAAGUUGGAAGAAAGAACAAAAUGACAUGACAAUUUUGAAGAAAAAAAACAUGCCUUAUGUGUUGUACUGAUGACUUGCUAAAGCUCUGGAACUGGAUGAAUAUGAGAAUGUUCACUGUCUAGUAAUAUUUCUCUCAAUGAUUAAAUUACUUUGCAAGUUGGAAAGAAUUGAGUUUCUUCUAUGCAAGACACCAAUUAGAAGAUCUUUUUAAAAUAGAUUCUUCCAUGAAAGUGCAAGGCAUGACCACGUGGAUGAGAGGAUGCUGGACACCUUCUACAGUGGUGCCUUUUCAGCAUCGCUUCAGUGCUCAUUUCUUCCUUCUGGACUUUUUGUAUUGGUAUCUGAAAGGAAAGAUCCUUUAUAGAUGUGCUAUAAAUUAGUUAAGAGAAGUGACCUGCUUUCUGUCAAGUAACUCUGGAAUCUUGAGUACUUUUCUCUGCUUUCCCAUGUGUUUAAUGGCAUUUCCCCCAUGUCUAUUUGUACUUUAGAAAGGGUGGUGUUUUGAUUUGGUAAAUGACAUGAUUGCAGCCAUCUGUGUACCAUGGUAUGCUUAGAUAAUUGGCAAAUGCUCACAUAUAUUCAGUACAUCUACUUGUGGUACCAUUUCAUGACAACUUUUUCUGGUUUGAAUUAUAGUC